CCUACGGGCGGCUGCAGUAGGGAAUAUUGCUCAAUGGGGGAAACCCUGAAGCAGCAACGCCGCGUGGAGGAUGAAGGUUUUCGGAUUAUAAACUCCUUUUGUUAGAGAAGAUAAUGACGGUAUCUAACGAAUAAGCACCGGCUAACUCCGGGCCAGCAGCCGCGGUACUACGGCGGGUGCAAGCGUUAUUCGGAAUCACUGGGCGUAAAGAGCGCGUAGGCGGGAUAGCAAGUCAGAUGUGAAAUCCUAUGGGUUAACCAUAGAACUGCAUUUGAAACUGUUAUUCUAGAGUAUGGGAGAGGUAGGUGGAAUGCUUGGUGUAGGGGUAAAAUCCGUAGAGAUCAAGAGGAAUACUCAUUGCGAAGGCGGCCUGCUAGAACAUAACUGACGCUGAUGCGCGAAAGCGUGGGGAGCAAACAGGAUUAGAUACCCGAGUAGUC
rnacentral:rRNA from 1 species